GAUGAACGCUGGCGGCGUGCUUAACACAUGCAAGUCGAGCGAGAAGUUUUGAAAAGAUUCUUCGGAUGAAAUUUAAAAUGGAAAGCGGCGGACGGGUGAGUAACGCGUAGGCAACCUGCCCCAUACAAAGGGAUAGCAUUUGGAAACGAAUAUUAAUACCUUAUGAAACUUAACUAGUGCUUGCUAGGUAGGUCAAAGAUUUAUCGGUAUGGGAUGGGCCUGCGUCUGAUUAGCUAGUUGGUGAGGUAACGGCUCACCAAGGCGACGAUCAGUAGCCGACCUGAGAGGGUGAACGGCCACAUUGGAACUGAGACACGGUCCAAACUCCUACGGGAGGCAGCAGUGGGGAAUAUUGCACAAUGGGGGAAACCCUGAUGCAGCAACGCCGCGUGAACGAUGAAGGCCUUUGGGUCGUAAAGUUCUGUUCUAGGUGAUGAAAACUGACAGUAACCUAGGAGAAAGCCCCGGCUAACUCCGUG
rnacentral:rRNA from 1 species